GGGUUGUAGCUCAAUGGUAGAGCGCUUGCCUUGCAUGUGUGAGGCACUGGGUUGAUCCUCAGCCUCA
rnacentral:tRNA from 1 species